rnacentral:misc_RNA from 1 species
AAAGCGCCGAUUUUUGGAUUUGUUUGCAAUCAUACUGAAAAUCUAAAACACACUCAGCAAUCUUAACAAAUUUAUCUUUCACUUUUUGAUUCUCUCGAGAAAAUCAUCCUUUUCUCAGUAACCAAACCAAAUAUUCAAAAUCUUCUGCAGUUUUUGCUGCUGCAGCUGCUGUGGUGCCAAUACAUAAUGAUGAUUGGAGAUAAAUUUUUGUAGAUUCCAUUGGAUUGACGACAGAUCUUGAGGUGAACACUGAUUUUCCAACAUCAAUGAGUCUAUUAAUUCAAACUUGUAUAUUAAUCCAACCUCAUUGGCUCCUCCCUUUUUGUUUCUGACACUUUCCCUUUCCACUUAGUUCGUAUUGAUUUGCUAAUUAUAAGAACUCCCAGAUUUAUGUAACUAUGGUUAGUGGUAAAAUUUCGUCUGAAUCUGUUACUAAUUUCACUUCUUUUUUAUUUGCCAAAAGAAAAUCCAAUUUUCUUCAAAAUUUCCUUCUCUUUUAUUUUGUGGAAAUAGUGUCCAAAUUUCCUGUCUUUUGCUAUGAUUUAUGAAUAAUUCCUCGCAGUUUCUUCCAAAUUUUGUUGCAGAGAGAGAGAGAGAGAG